rnacentral:rRNA from 1 species
AACGAACGCUGGCGGCGUGCCUAACACAUGCAAGUCGAACGAGAAAGGGGCUUCGGCUCCGAGUAAAGUGGCGCACGGGUGAGUAACACGUGGGUAUCCUGCCUCUAAGAUUGGGAUAACUCGUCGAAAGAUGAGCUAAUACCGAAUAAGACCACAGUUCCCGCGGGAACAGGGGUCAAAGGUAGCCUCUGCUUGCAAGCUAUCACUUAGAGAUGGGCCUGCGCACCAUUAGCUAGUUGGUAGGGUAACGGCCUACCAAGGCAAAGAUGGUUAGCUGGUCUGAGAGGAUGAUCAGCCACACUGGAACUGAGACACGGUCCAGACUCCUACGGGAGGCAGCAGUGGGGAAUAUUGCGCAAUGGGCGAAAGCUUGACGCAGCAACGCCGCGUGAGUGAUGAAGGCCUUCGGGUCGUAAAGCUCUGUCGGGAGGAACGAAUGCUCCUGAGGUUAACAGCCUCGGGAGGUGACGGUACCUUCAAAGGAAGCACCGGCUAACUCUGUG